UCCAAAAUCCCACAUAUCAGUGCUUACAUGGUCAAAAAAUUGACCUAUAAAAUAUCUUCCCCCUGGGUCUUUUUUUUUUCUUUUUAGUUCCAAAUGAGCUAUUGGAUCCCUGUGUCUCACAUUUGAUGUGGUUAGUGGGGAAGGUGAAGGCAUCCUUUGAAAGACCGGUAGUGGGAGCAAGAAUUGCAGUUCACUACUACCUCAAGGCAAGAAGCACAGCUGUGUUGUGUAGUACAAAAGGAUUUCUGAGAAGAAGAGUUUAAGACACUAGCCCAGGGGUCAGCAGCCCGCAGCUCUGGAGCCGCAUGUAGCAGUUGUCAGCAUUCCAGAAAACCCCUCCUGCAGAAAAGACUCUGAAGCCAACAUCUCUCAAAGUUCUUUUACUAGCAUAGAGAGAACUCUUUCAGUUGGUGGAGAGAACUCUUCUGGCUACAAAAAAACAGGAGGAAUAACAGACUAGUCCAUCUGAUACAGGCAAUCUACUCUUAAGCAUUGUUGGAAGAAAUGUCCGUCUGGAUUCAGUUCCAAGUGGGAAGACAGACACUGGAAACAUGGAAGCUGAUUGGAAAGAUGGUUUAAUGGUGAAGCAUGCGUGAUUCUGGGUACCUGACCACAUGGAGUUG